GACGAACGCUGGCGGCGUGCUUAACACAUGCAAGUCGAACGGUAAGGCCCUUCGGGGUACACGAGUGGCGAACGGGUGAGUAACACGUGGGUGAUCUGCCCUGCACUUCGGGAUAAGCCUGGGAAACUGGGUCUAAUACCGGAUAGGACCACUGCCUGCAUGGGUGGUGGUGGAAAGCUUUUGCGGUGUGGGAUGGGCCCGCGGCCUAUCAGCUUGUUGGUGGGGUGAUGGCCUACCAAGGCGACGACGGGUAGCCGGCCUGAGAGGGCGACCGGCCACACUGGGACUGGGACACGGCCCAGACUCCUACGGGAGGCAGCAGUGGGGAAUAUUGCACAAUGGGCGCAAGCCUGAUGCAGCGACGCCGCGUGAGGGAUGAAGGUCUUCGGAUUGUAAACCUCUUUCAGUAGGGACGAAGCGAAAGUGACGGUACCUAAAGAAGAAGCACCGGCUAACUACGUGCCAGCCGCCGCUGUAA
rnacentral:rRNA from 1 species